rnacentral:rRNA from 1 species
CCUACGGGGGGCUGCAGUGGGGAAUAUUGCACAAUGGGCGCAAGCCUGAUGCAGCCAUGCCGCGUGUGUGAAGAAGGCCUUCGGGUUGUAAAGCACUUUCAGCGGGGAGGAAGGCGGUGAGGUUAAUAACCUCAUCGAUUGACGUUACCCGCAGAAGAAGCACCGGCUAACUCCGUGCCAGCAGCCGCGGUAAUACGGAGGGUGCAAGCGUUAAUCGGAAUUACUGGGCGUAAAGCGCACGCAGGCGGUCUGUCAAGUCGGAUGUGCAAUCCCCGGGCUCAACCUGGGAACUGCAUUCGAAACUGGCAGGCUAGAGUCUUGUAGAGGGGGGUAGAAUUCCAGGUGUAGCGGUGAAAUGCGUAGAGAUCUGGAGGAAUACCGGUGGCGAAGGCGGCCCCCUGGACAAAGACUGACGCUCAGGUGCGAAAGCGUGGGGAGCAAACAGGAUUAGAUACCCCGGUAGUC